rnacentral:rRNA from 1 species
AUGCUGGAGGUAUCAGAAGUGCGAAUGCUGACAUAAGUAACGAUAAAGCGGGUGAAAAGCCCGCUCGCCGGAAGACCAAGGGUUCCUGUCCAACGUUAAUCGGGGCAGGGUGAGUCGACCCCUAAGGCGAGGCCGAAAGGCGUAGUCGAUGGGAAACAGGUUAAUAUUCCUGUACUUGGUGUUACUGCGAAGGGGGGACGGAGAAGGCUAUGUUGGCCGGGCGACGGUUGUCCCGGUUUAAGCGUGUAGGCUGGUUUUCCAGGCAAAUCCGGAAAAUCAAGGCUGAGGCGUGAUGACGAGGCACUACGGUGCUGAAGCAACAAAUGCCCUGCUUCCAGGAAAAGCCUCUAAGCAUCAGGUAACAUCAAAUCGUACCCCAAACCGACACAGGUGGUCAGGUAGAGAAUACCAAGGCGCUUGAGAGAACUCGGGUGAAGGAACUAGGCAAAAUGGUGCCGUAACUUCGGGAGAAGGCACGCUGAUAUGUAGGUGAAGUCCCUCGCGGAUGGAGCUGAAAUCAGUCGAAGAUACCAGCUGGCUGCAACUGUUUAUUAAAAACACAGCACUGUGCAAACACGAAAGUGGACGUAUACGGUGUGACGCCUGCCCGGUGCCGGAAGGUUAAUUGAUGGGGUCAGCGCAAGCGAAGCUCUUGAUCGAAGCCCCGGUAAACGGCGGCCGUAACUAUAACGGUCCUAAGGUAGCGAAAUUCCUUGUCGGGUAAGUUCCGACCUGCACGAAUGGCGUAAUGAUGGCCAGGCUGUCUCCACCCGAGACUCAGUGAAAUUGAACUCGCUGUGAAGAUGCAGUGUACCCGCGGCAAGACGGAAAGACCCCGUGAACCUUUACUAUAGCUUGACACUGAACAUUGAGCCUUGAUGUGUAGGAUAGGUGGGAGGCUUUGAAGUGUGGACGCCAGUCUGCAUGGAGCCGACCUUGAAAUACCACCCUUUAAUGUUUGAUGUUCUAACGUGGACCCGUAAUCCGGGUUGCGGACAGUGUCUGGUGGGUAGUUUGACUGGGGCGGUCUCCUCCUAAAGAGUAACGGAGGAGCACGAAGGUUGGCUAAUCCUGGUCGGACAUCAGGAGGUUAGUGCAAUGGCAUAAGCCAGCUUGACUGCGAGCGUGACGGCGCGAGCAGGUGCGAAAGCAGGUCAUAGUGAUCCGGUGGUUCUGAAUGGAAGGGCCAUCGCUCAACGGAUAAAAGGUACUCCGGGGAUAACAGGCUGAUACCGCCCAAGAGUUCAUAUCGACGGCGGUGUUUGGCACCUCGAUGUCGGCUCAUCACAUCCUGGGGCUGAAGUAGGUCCCAAGGGUAUGGCUGUUCGCCAUUUAAAGUGGUACGCGAGCUGGGUUUAGAACGUCGUGAGACAGUUCGGUCCCUAUCUGCCGUGGGCGCUGGAGAACUGAGGGGGGCUGCUCCUAGUACGAGAGGACCGGAGUGGACGCAUCACUGGUGUUCGGGUUGUCAUGCCAAUGGCACUGCCCGGUAGCUAAAUGCGGAAGAGAUAAGUGCUGAAAGCAUCUAAGCACGAAACUUGCCCCGAGAUGAGUUCUCCCUGACUCCUUGAGAGUCCUGAAGGAACGUUGAAGACGACGACGUUGAUAGGCCGGGUGUGUAAGCGCAGCGAUGCGUUGAGCUAACCGGUACUAAUGAACCGUGAGGCUUAACCUU